CGUUUAGGGGUAAACCUGAGAAACCCGAAAGGUCGAAGGAAGAAAUUCAUUCGCGUUUCGACGUAGGCGACGGAUCGUCGAGUGACGAAAGAGCGUUCGCGCUUUUUCGCGCAUUCGGUUCGUUCGAACCUGCGGCGAACGCGUGCACUUUUCUUCUGGUAGGACGUCGCGAUUCGUCGAGUGUCGAUUUACGGUUCGCGAAGGAGACCGUCCGUGUCGUUUUUACGAACGAUUCACGCGACGGACUCGCGUUUUCCGAUCGACUCGCUCGACGGUAUACGAACGGUUAGGGGCCGCUAAUUUUAUAGCGUUCGACUCACGGCAAGCGCGCCGAAUGCGUUGGCGAUCGGACCUAGUGCCGGUUCCGAUCUUCGGUGACUGUUGGUCUUGAAGUUCUCGAACAGACCUCUUUCUAAUUUAAAACCGAUCUGCGACGCUAUAGCUUUGGGUACUUUCAGGACCCGUCUUGAAACACGGACCAAGGAGUCUAGCAUGUGCGCGAGUCAUUGGGACAUAUACGAAACCUAAAGGCGUAAUGAAAGUAAAAGUCUUCCUAGCGGAGACCGAGGGAAGAUGGGCGACGCUCGACGUCAAAAUCGAGUUCGUUCCGCAUUCCCGGGGCGUUUCAUUCUCAUUGCGAGAGGAGGCGCACCAAUAGCGUAC
rnacentral:rRNA from 1 species